GUUGGAGAAGCAGGGCACGUGCGAGCUGAGGCUGCCUUUCUGGCCUGGCCUGGCCUCGCUUACAGUAAGUACUCGGGCCUCGCACGUGCUCCCCUUCUCCAAC
rnacentral:pre_miRNA from 1 species